CUCGCUUCCAGGUGCCUGACCCGUGCGCUAAGCCCACCUGGGCGGAGGAUGGAUGGGAGAGAUUUAGUCCUUGGGGGGCCCUGCUCAAGGCAAGGAAGGUCGUCUUCUGAGACCUUCGUCCCUGGGCAGGCUCUGUUCCUUGAUUUCUGGGCCCCUGACCUCUCCAGGCCGCUCUAUGGAUAUCGGACCUGUCUGGGCAGUGCCCUGCAGGUGCGUCUUGAGAUAUUUCGGAUGGGACGUUUAGGAAAAUAUUGUGACCGAGCUGGUGAUCUCCUUGACACAUGUUGCUGGCCUGCACUCAACGUGGAGAAGGGUUGAGCUUAACCUUCACCACUGAAUUCGUGGUGGUCUUCAGAUGCGAGGCCUCUGGAAUGGAUCAUCUGAGGCCACGCCACAGCCCCCGCUCCCCCAACGAAGAGAACUGUUAACUGGUUGCAGCUGCAUUCUUGGUGCAGAUUCUGGCAGAGCGUGCAAAAUCGUGUCCUCAACUCUAUGUAGCUGAUGUUCUGCACUCAGUACGUGUUUACCAUCUGUCUCUGUUGCCGUGUGAGACUCUGGGAUAUUGCUCCCAACUGUUGCUUCUACUCUAGGGCGUGUACGUGGCUCUUCCCGGUGUGACAUGUGAACCUGGGCAGGUCUUUGCACCUGCUUCCACCUGUAGAAUGAAGGUGACAUUGUUUGGCUUCCCAGGAUAAGUCAUUAAAAUACCUCGUUGAGAUGUUUGCUCUGGGAAUCUAGCCAUCAUAUUGGGGGAGAGCUGGAAGCCACAUGGAGAGAACUUGCACUAGACUAAAUAAUGUCCCCCAAGUCCAUGUCCCCCUAGAUCCUGGGAAUAUGAGCUUAUUUAGAAAAAGUUUUUUUGUAGACAUAAUCAAGUUGAAGUCAUGCUGAAUUAAGAUGGGCCCUAAAUCCAAUACCUCUGGUGGUGUUAUGAGAGUUUAGGGGAGAAGGUCUGUGGUGAUGGAGGCAGAGAUUGGGGGCCUGCCUACAGUUACCAGCCAAGGAUUGCAAGGACCAGGAAGGUGGAUGAGGGAAGCAAGGAUUCUGCUCUAGUACUUUGAGGGAGUAUGGUCCCAUCAGCAUCUGGAAUUCAGACUUCUGGGUUAUAGAACUUUAAUAAAUUUCUCUGGUUUUAUGUGA